rnacentral:rRNA from 1 species
GACGAACGCUGGCGGCGUGCUUAACACAUGCAAGUCGAACGGAAAGGCCCUGCUUUUGUGGGGUGCUCGAGUGGCGAACGGGUGAGUAACACGUGUGUAACCUGCCCUUGACUUUGGGAUAACUUCAGGAAACUGGGGCUAAUACCGGAUAGGAGCUCCUGCUGCAUGGUGGGGUUGGAAAGUUUCGGCGGUUGGGGAUGGACUCGCGGCUUAUCAGCUUGUUGGUGGGGUAGUGGCUUACCAAGGCUUUGACGGGUAGCCGGCCUGAGAGGGUGACCGGCCACAUUGGGACUGAGAUACGGCCCAGACUCCUACGGGAGGCAGCAGUGGGGAAUAUUGCACAAUGGGCGGAAGCCUGAUGCAGCAACGCCGCGUGCGGGAUGACGGCCUUCGGGUUGUAAACCGCUUUCGCCUGUGACGAAGCGUGAGUGACGGUAAUGGGUAAAGAAGCACCGGCUAACUACGUG